UACGGAGGGUGCAAGCGUUAUCCGGAUUUACUGGGUUUAAAGGGUGCGCAGGCGGAUAUGUAAGUCAGUGGUGAAAUCUCCGGGCUUAACCCGGAAACUGCCGUUGAUACUAUAUAUCUUGAAUGCCGUGGAGGUAAGCGGAAUAUGUCAUGUAGCGGUGAAAUGCUUAGAUAUGACAUAGAACACCGAUUGCGUAGGCAGCUCGCUAAACUGUAACUGACGCUGAGGCACGAAAGCGUGGGGAGCAAACAGG
rnacentral:rRNA from 1 species